CCUACGGGGGGCAGCAGUGGGGAAUAUUGGGCAAUGGGCGCAAGCCUGACCCAGCAACGCCGCGUGAAGGAAGAAGGCUUUCGGGUUGUAAACUUCUUUUCUGAGGGACGAAGAAAGUGACGGUACCUCAGGAAUAAGCCACGGCUAACUACGUGCCAGCAGCCGCGGUAAUUCGUAGGUGGCAAGCGUUAUCCGGAUUUAUUGGGUGUAAAGGGCGGGUAGGCGGGAAAGCAAGUCAGAUGUGAAAACUCAGGGCUCAACCCUGAGCCUGCAUUUGAAACUGGUUUUCUUGAGUGCUGGAGAGGGAAUCAGAAUUGCGGGUGUAGCGGUGAAAUGCGUAGAUAUACGGAGGAAAACCAGUGGCGAAGGCGGAUUGCUGGACAGUAACUGACGCUGAGGCGCGAAAGCGUGGGGAGCAAACAGGAUUAGAUACCCCAGUAGUC
rnacentral:rRNA from 1 species